rnacentral:lncRNA from 1 species
AAGGUGGACGAAUGCAUACUCUUUUAUAACGUAUUGGAACGAGGGUACCCAACAUGAACUCGCGCGCCAGGUGUCUAAUGGGACAUCAUCGUUCCAUGGCUCUUGUUCGGUCAGAUCUCCCUCCAGAAGACUCAAAACACUUUGUAAAGGCUGGUGACAUCUAGUGGAAGCAAUAGGAAGUGCCAAAAUAUUCCUAAACCCCUGUGUUUUUCAAUGGGAUAGGUUUAAAGUCAAUACAACACAUCAGGACCUGAGCCCUAGGACCAUGCCUCAGGACUACCUGGUAUGACUCCUCCUUGCUGUCCCCAGUCCACCUGGCCGUGCUGCUGCUCCAGUUUCAACUGUUCUGCCUGCGGCUAUGGAACCCUGACCUGUUCACCGGACGUGCUUGUUGCACCCUCGACAACUACUAUGAUUAUUAUUAUUUGACCAUGCUGGUCAUUUAUGAACAUUUUAACAUUUUAACAUUUUGACCAUGUUCUGUUAUAAUAUCCACCCUGCACAGCCAGAAGAGGACUGGCCACCCCUCAUAGCCUGGUUCCUCUCUAGGUUUCUUCCUAGGUUUUUGGCCUUUCUAGGGAGUUUUUCCUAGGGAGUUUUUCCUAGCCACCGUGCUUCUUUCACAUGCUUUGCUUGCUGUUUGGGGUUUUAGGCUGGGUUUCUGUACAGCACUUUGAGAAUAUCAGCUGAUGUACGAAGGGCUAUAUAAAAAUAAAUUUGAAAUUUGAUUCAAUGCACCUUGGCAUAGAUUCUACAAGUGUCUGGAACUCUAUUGUCAGGAUGCAUUUGGUGUUUUGUUGAUGGUGGUGGAUAACGUUGUCUCAGGCGGUGCUCCAGAAUCUCCCAUCAGUGUUCAAUUGGGUUGAGAUUUAGUGACUGAGAGGGCCAUGGCAUAUGGUUUGCAUCGUUUUCAUGCUCAUAAAACCAUUCCGUGACCACUCAUGCCCUGUGAAUGGGGGCAUUGUCAUCUUUGGGGCAUCGCCAUGGUAACCAAAAUAAUGGCCUGCCCAGCAUUUUUAUAUCUGACCCUAAGCAUGAUGGGAUGUUAAUUGCUUAAUUAACUCAGGAACCACAGCUGUGUGGAAGCACCUGCUU